rnacentral:lncRNA from 1 species
AAAACUCAUUGAUUCCUGAUAAGAAUCUUCACUUAUCCAGAAAAUAAUAGGUUGUUUCUUAGUUUGUUGUAGCCCCGGAGGUCAGCUGCCUGAAGAAUUACAGCUUCUGAGGCUAAUUCUUUGCCAAACUAGAGUUGGCCAGAAUAUGGGAGUUGAGCCUAGUAAGACCAGAACACCACCUUCCUGCCAUAUUCUGUACCCCUACCAGGAAAGUGAAAGCAUGUGAUUCUCUAUGCUGUGUUAAACACCCUACUUAGUCUUGGAUAUAAGAACUAGAUCUUCAGUGGCAGGUCAACAAAACUAAAACAGAAAUCAAGAAAACAUGUAAACACACUAAGUAUAGGAGCCCCUAAGUGCUCCCUAGGACCCAAAGGUAGAAAACAAGUAGAGCUGGAUCUCAACCAACCAACCAACCAACCAACAAACAAACAAACAAACAAAACUAGAAGAUACAGCUGCACCAUAGCUCCCAGUUUCACUUGUUUCAGUUCAAGUUACCAAUAGAGACUUACUUUCUCAGUGUUAAUUCGACAUUCCCAGGAGACACUUGCUUGACUCAGCAUGAAACAGGUAAUUCCCCUCUCCUAUCACAUUAAUUCCACCUAGGAUGAAGAAGGGGAAGUGGACACAUGAGUUUGUAUAAAAUAAUAGUCCUAUGUCAGGUACUAUUUUAAAAACAGUACUUGUAUUACUGUUGUUUUAUUUAAUUGUAUUAUAGACUUAGUAUUGUAUUUAUUAUUUAAUCUACCCAGCAAUUCAAUGAGAAAAUAUUAUAACUAUUAUCCUCAAUUUGGAAACGAAGAAACUAAGGUCCAGUAAGGUUAAGAUCCUUGCUCAAAGUCUUAAAACACUUAAGUGGAAGAACUUAAACCUAAACUCAUGUAACUUGGCUUUGGGAACAAAACUUACGUCACAUGACUCCUUGGAUCUCACACCUGUGAUCCGAGAGCAACUGCCUCAAAAAGGGAGAGAACUCUGAGCUGAAGAAACUAUAAAAUAAUUAGAAUUACAACUAGAAUAAUUAUAAUCACUGAAAAUGUAAUCAUCUAAAUGUUAGGGACAGCUAUACAUAUGUACAUAUAUAGUUUCCAGACAACUAUACAUGAAAACUAUAAAUGAGUUUUUUAAAUGUGCAAUUAGAGUAUAUAUUCAGAUAGAGCAUAUUCUCAAACUUCCUCUUAU